rnacentral:rRNA from 1 species
UGGGGAAUUUUGGACAAUGGGGGCAACCCUGAUCCAGCCAUGCCGCGUGUGUGAAGAAGGCCUUCGGGUUGUAAAGCACUUUCGGCCGGAACGAAAUCGCGCGGGCUAACACUCCGCGUGGAUGACGGUACCGGAAGAAGAAGCACCGGCUAACUACGUGCCAGCAGCCGCGGUAAUACGUAGGGUGCGAGCGUUAAUCGGAAUUACUGGGCGUAAAGUGUGCGCAGGUGGCCGCGCAAGUCGAGUGUGAAAGCCCCGGGCUUAACUUGGGAAUUGCGCUCGAAACUACGUGGCUAGAGUGUGGCAGAGGAAGGUGGAAUUCCACGUGUAGCGGUGAAAUGCGUAGAGAUGUGGAGGAACACCGAUGGCGAAGGCAGCCUUCUGGGCCAACACUGACGCUCAUGCACGAAAGCGUGGGGAGCAAACAGGAUUAGAUACCCUGGUAGUCCACGCCCUAAACGAUGAUGACUAGUUGUUGGGGGAGUUAAAUCCCUUAGUAACGC